UUUUUGAAGAUGAUUCUGGGUCAGAAGAAGCUGAGAACCUGUUAACCAGGAGGAAGAGGAGUUGAGAGGUUCAGGGAGGAGCUGAGAUGUUACUGAACUCUAGAAGAAACUCAAACUUCCUCAUUCAACACAGUUCAACACAUAAACAUCAACUCUGCUCAACAUGGACUAUUAUGGACUUUCUCUGCUCAUUGCCUCACUUCUAACAGGUGUCAGCUGUGAUCAACUGACUCCACAUAAGAAGGACGUUUUGGGUUUAGAAGGCAGCUCUGUUACUCUGUCCUACAAUUUAUCCAGACAAGCAGUUGUGAAUGAUUACUUCUUCUGGUAUCGACAAUAUCCUGGAAAACCUCCAGAGUUCCUGAUCUCUCACACUGGAAAAGGAAGCAAACUCCAGGAUCCAGUUCCUGGUUUUUCCUUUAAAGUGAGAGAUGAAAACAUCCAGAUGGACCUGCAGAUCAUCUCUGCUGCAGUGACAGAUUCUGCUGUGUACUACUGUGCUGUGAGGCCCACAGUGACAGGAAACACCAGAACUCUGUACAAGAACCUGCAAUACUCCACAUCAUCCACUAGAGGACCUCACACACUGUUAAACCACUGAUUGUUGAGUCUUUGGACUGAUGACAAAGACAACAGAGACAUGAAGCAGUAAAGAUCAGAGACAGAGCUGCUGUGGAAGCAGAAAACUCUGUGAUUGGUUGAGUUGAAGUGGCCCCGCCCACUGAACUUCAACUAAGUUCAUGUGAAGAUCCACGAAGUUGUGCCUGUUUCCUGUUUUAUCAAAGUCACUGUGGUUCCAGCUGCUAAUCAAACACAGUAGAUGAUCCACAGGAGCAGAGUCACAGCUUCAGAUUGAAAAAAUUAUUUAAUUUGAACCUUUGUUUUUGUCGAGUACGCCAGCUUCCGCCCACAGUCCAAAAACAUGACUGGUAGGUCAGUUGGUUUCUCUAAAUUGCCCUUAGACGUGAAUGAGUGUGUGCAUGGUUGUUUGUCCUGUGUGUGCCUGUGUUGCCCUGCGAUGGACUGGCGACCUGUCCAGGGUGAACCCCGCCUCCCGCCCGUAAACUGCUGGAGAUAGGCACCAACUCCCCCAUGACCCACUAUGGAAGAAGUUUUAGCGUUAAUUAGGUUUUCUACUGCAGAUCCAGUAAAGUUCUCCUCCACCAGGUCACCAAAGUAAAUCAAAGAUACAAUCCAAUCCAACUUGACCAUACAAACAUGCAAAUAUAUGAUGCAAAAUAAAGAGAGAACAAGAAAGUA